UACGAGGGGGGCGAGCGUUGUUCGGAAUUAUUGGGCGUAAAGGGUGCGUAGGCGGUUUGAUAAGUCUGAUGUGAAAUCUAUGGGCUCAACCCAUAGUCUGCAUUAGAAACUGUCGGGCUUGAGUAUGGGAGAGGUGAGUGGAAUUUCCGGUGUAGCGGUGAAAUGCGUAGAUAUCGGAAGGAACACCUGUGGCGAAAGCGGCUCACUGGACCAUUACCGACGCUGAGACGCGAAAGCGUGGGGAGCGAACAGG
rnacentral:rRNA from 1 species